rnacentral:tRNA from 1 species
ACGACGAUAGCUCACCUGGUAGAGCAUCUGCCGGACAUGUGGAGGGUCGCCGGUUCGGUUCCGGCUCGUGGCA